AACGCGAAGAACCUUACCACCCCUUGACAUCCAGAGAAUCUGUGAGAGAUCGGAGAGUGCCUUCGGGAGCUCUGAGCCAGGUGCUGCAUGGCGGUCGUCAGCUCGUGUCUUGAGAUGUUGGGUUAAGUCCCGUAACGAGCGCAACCCUUAUCCUUAGUUGCCAGCGGGUGAUGCCGGGAACUCUAGGGAGACUGCCGGUGAUAAACCGGAGGAAGGUGGGGAGGACGUCAAGUCAUCAUGGCCCUUAUGCCGGGGGCUCCCCACGUGCUCCAAUGUCCGGUACAAAGGCCACCCAACCCGCGAGGGUAAGCAAUUCCCAAAAACCCGGUCCCAGUCCGGAUUGCAGUCUGCAACUCGCCUCCACGAAGUCGGAAUCGCUAGUAAUCGCAGAUCAGCACUCG
rnacentral:rRNA from 1 species